UCGUGGCUGCUUUCCAAACCCU
rnacentral:miRNA from 1 species